rnacentral:rRNA from 1 species
UACGAAGGGGGCUAGCGUUGCUCGGAAUUACUGGGCGUAAAGGGCGCGUAGGCGGAUAUCUAAGUUGGGGGUGAAAGCCCGGGGCUCAACCUCGGAAUAGCCUUCAAUACUGGAUAUCUUGAGUACGGGAGAGGUGAGUGGAACUGCGAGUGUAGAGGUGAAAUUCGUAGAUAUUCGCAAGAACACCAGUGGCGAAGGCGGCUCACUGGCCCGGUACUGACGCUGAGGCACGAAAGCGUGGGGAGCAAACAGG